rnacentral:rRNA from 1 species
UACGUAGGGACCAAGCGUUGUUCGGAUUUACUGGGCGUAAAGGGCGCGUAGGCGGAAUGGCAAGUCGGUCGUGAAAUCCUUCGGCUCAACCGAAGAACGUCGAUCGAAACUGCCGUUCUUGAGGAUUGCAGAGGAGACUGGAAUUCCCGGUGUAGCGGUGAAAUGUGUAGAGAUCGGGAGGAACACCGGUGGCGAAGGCGGGUCUCUGGGCAAUUCCUGACGCUGAGGCGCGAAAGCGUGGGGAGCAAACGGG